rnacentral:misc_RNA from 1 species
GAUGAAGAACGCAGCGAAAUGCGAUAAGUAAUGUGAAUUGCAGAAUUCAGUGAAUCAUCGAAUCUUUGAACGCACAUUGCGCCCGCCAGUAUUCUGGCGGGCAUGCCUGUUCGAGCGUCAUUACAACCCUCAGGCCCCCGGGCCUGGCGUUGGGGAUCGGCGGAGCCCCCCGUGGGCACACGCCGUCCCCCAAAUACAGUGGCGGUCCCGCCGCAGCUUCCAUCGCGUAGUAGCUAACACCUCGCGACUGGAGAGCGGCGCGGCCACGCCGUAAAACACCCAACUCUUCCGAAGUUGACCUCGAAUCAGGUAGGAAUACCCGCUGAACUUAAGCAUAUCAAUAAGCGGAGGA